rnacentral:rRNA from 1 species
GACGAACGCUGGCGGCGUGCUUAACACAUGCAAGUCGAACGAUGAAGCCCAGCUUGCUGGGUGGAUUAGUGGCGAACGGGUGAGUAACACGUGGGCAACCUGCCCCAAACUCUGGGAUAACUCCUCGAAAGAGGUGCUAAUACCGGAUACGAACUAGACAGACAUCUGUACUAGUUGGAAAGUUUUUCGGUUUGGGAUGGGCCCGCGGCCUAUCAGCUUGUUGGUGAGGUAACGGCUCACCAAGGCUACGACGGGUAACCGGCCUGAGAGGGCGACCGGUCACACUGGGACUGAGACACGGCCCAGACUCCUACGGGAGGCAGCAGUGGGGAAUAUUGCGCAAUGGGCGAAAGCCUGACGCAGCGACGCCGCGUGAGGGAUGAAGGUCUUCGGAUCGUAAACCUCUUUCAGUAGGGACGAAGCGAAAGUGACGGUACCUAAAGAAGAAGCACCGGCUAACUACGUGCCAGCCGCCGCCGUAA